rnacentral:rRNA from 1 species
UCAAUCUCGCGUGGCUAAACGCCACUCGUCCCUCUAAGAAGCUCGAGGGGCGCAGCAGAGGACGCCCGAGCUAUUUAGCAGGCCAGAGUCUCGUUCGUUAU